rnacentral:rRNA from 1 species
GUGCCCAGCCGCCCCGGGUUAUACGUAGGGUGGGAGGCUUAAUCGAAUUACUGGCUUAAGGCCUGCGCAGCCGUUUGAUAAAACGGCCUGAAUCCCCGGGCUAACCUUGGGACUGGGCCUGUACGGUCUCACUAGAGUACGGCAGAGGGGGGUGAAUUCCAACGUUAGCAGUGAAUGCGUAGAGAUGUGAGGACACCGAUGGCGAGGCAGCCCCCUGGCCGAUACUGACGCUCAUGCACGAAGGCGUGGUUAGCAAACAGAAUUAGAUACCUUGGUAGUUCACGCCCCUAAACGAUGUCAACUAGGUGUGGGGUGGUUAAACCAUUUAGUACCGUAGCUAACGCGUNAGUUGACCGCCUGGGGAGUACGGCCGCAGGUUUAAACUCAAAGUNAUUGACGGGACCCGCNCAGCGGUGGAUGAUGUGGAUUAAUUCGAUGCAACGCGAAAAACCUUACCUACCCUUGACAUGUCCAGAAGCCCGAAGAGAUUUGGGUGUGCCCGAAAGGGAGCUGGAACACAGGUGCUGCAUGGCUGUCGUCAGCUCGUGUCGUGAGAUGUUGGGUUAAGUCCCGCAACGAGC